rnacentral:lncRNA from 1 species
AGUGGUAUCCAAGUCCUCCAGCCUACAGGAGGUAGUUGCUCAACAGGCACAGAAUGCCCUGUUACAUCAGACUGGGUAGCAGUGAACUCGGGAGCUAGGAACACAUUCACACCACACAACUCCUGGUUCACCGCUUUUCCUGCCGCAGCAGCUUGCUUGCCUUCUGUGAUUUCUUUGGGGGGUCUCUGUAGAGACAGAGAUGGAGCACAAAAGCUUCCUUUGGGUGUGCCAUAUAUAUGGCAAACUAGGGCAAGCUUCUACACAUUAGCUCUACCUAGUGAGAUUGGGAUGGUGCUGCCCACACAGCACAGGGGUAGAUCUCAUGCAGAGCAAUGGUGGGCUAGUUGACAUAAAACAUCUCUGUCAGAGGCAGAUGGUCAGGCUUUUCUAUCGGUCUCCAUCAGAAGAAAUGGCUUCUAGAAGACUGGAUCUGGUUAAUGUUGCUUUCAGAGAGAUGGGAACUGCAAGAGGAAUGGCUUCCACACAGCUGGGACCAUCAGUAGAGCAUCUGCAGGAUAAGACACUGACUUCAUCAGUGGUCUCAGUAGGUCCAGUAGCAUAAGUUCCCCAUAGAAGUUUCUGCUCCACCCCUUUCCAGUUUAAGAUAUGUAGAGCAGCACUGUCCCUCCUAUACUCUAGAAUCUAAAGGCACACUGUUCCAUUGAGUAGUUGGGGAUUCUGCCAGCUGUGUAAGUUUCAACUGUCAGGAAACUGGGCUUCCCUCUUCAGGACUUCCUAGGCUGCAGAGAAUCCUGAGCAAGGUAGGUAGACACCUCUCUGGGUACCUUGGGAAGGAAGCUGAUAACCAUGGGGCACAUUUUUUUUUAAAUGCUGGGAAGAAGGACAUUUGUUUUAUUGUUAAAUUGUUUAGGUUUUACUUGGCUUUAUCUGGAAGCUUAUUCAAAAUAGACACAGUAGAUUUUCUCUACAUAGAUUCGUGUAAUUCUCACAUGAAGAUAGCCUAUCAUGCUGUGAACAUUCUGAUCCCUUGAGGAAUGCAGUUGUUGAGGUGGCACUCACGAUUGCCGUUGCAGAAGGCACCUGUCACUCAUUCUACAGCUGCCCUGUCCUCUUUUGUAGCACUGAUCUCUACCAUUGGCAUUCUUCCUAAGACUUUGAAAGAAUAAGGCUAUUCUUGUAUUUCUUUCUUUCCACGGGGACAGGCAUUAGCUUCAUUAGCUGCAGAAUUGGGAGUUGUCUGAAAAAAGAAGAUGGAGGAAACAGUUCUGUAAUCAAAUGAUCCUUGGAUGUUUCAAAACGCAUCCUGCAAUACUGUCUCUGACUGCGGAAGCCAGAGUGACACAGCGUGAAGGAAUGCUGUAUUUCUCUCUUCAUCCUCUUAACAGUGUUCUCACUCUGGGCCACCCAAUUGUCCCAUGUGUUAAGCAUUCUGAUCACAUGACUGGGUAAGAGCCUGGAGCAUGACCCUAAGCAUCUUUGCAAAUGCUAAUUUUAUAGUCAGUUUGCUAAGAGCAGAAUUUUAAAUAUUUACCUAUUUUUUUAAAAAAAUAUCUCAGCAGCCUUUGCUCUAGAUGAACUUUAUUUCCUGGAAUGUUUUCUGCUGCAGUGAUGUCUUGUAUCAGCCAUAGUUUGUUGAGCGUCUUGGUAUAAUGUGAAACAUGGAUUUGGAUCCCAGGUUACAAUGACAUCCACCCUCUUAGUUAAGAGCUGUUGACUUUGGGUAAAACAUAUUCCUAAUAUAUGAGUACAAUGGAAAUUAUUAGCAUAUGACUCAUCAGAUCCCACAAUUAAACAAGGGUAUCAUAAAUAAAAUGUUGCCUUGUGGUCUAAUGCAUAGUAGGUGUUCAGUAAAUGAAGAAUAUCUACUACAGAUCAUUUUUCCAUUUUAAAUAUGUAACAGCACAUUAAAUAUGUUCCUAAACUUUUCACCAUAACUAUUCUUUACCAGCCCCUUGUAUGGAGGAAUGAUUGUGUUGCCCGACAAGUUCUAAGCUGUUUCAGGAGCCAGGAUGCCAACUCCCAGUAGGAAAAUGUUUUAAUCCACCCCAUUCUUCUCUGAAGCUCCAACUUCCACUGCAGUACAAGGUCCAGGAAGACAACCUGCCUCAUGAGCAAAUUAUGCAUGAGUGUACGUAUGUGUUCAAAAAUACAAGUGGUCAUCAUCAAUAAAGAGCGAACACUAGAACAUUAAGAGAGAUAGUGUUAUUGCACAAAUCAAAACAUAUCCCUGUGAGGAGCGAGUGUGGCAGCAGUCCCAAGAAGGCGCCCGGGACUGCAGCUAAGUCUUAUGACUUAUGACUUGCACCUGACAAUAAGCCUGAAAAUAAGCCACGACCAUCGGGAGAGCUGCACAGGUGCACCAUGAUGCUGGCAGUUUAAACAAGUCCAUAUUUGGUGGAGACAUGCCCCUGCCGCCCUGAAUGGCUGAAGCUGCGUGCCUGGUGAGGUGACAUGGCCUGUUGUGAGUGGAUGGGGACUGAGAGUAUAUAAGAGUGAGAGGCCCGGGGUUCGGGGGAGAAAGAUGGAGAGAUAAAGUUGAAGCGAGAGAGAUGAAGACUGAAGUUUGCUGAAUAAACUGCUGUUAGCAGGACUGGUGGUCGUGUCGUUCUUGCUGGUCGAGAGCAGACGUGACAUAUCCCCAGUAUGAAUGCAUCACUUUUAUGAAUUUUGCAUGACCGAAUCCUAGAUUAUUCUGACAGUUGCCAUGUUCCAUAAUUUCAAGUGCUAUGUUGGCUCACCUUCUGGUUUUUUUUGUGACAAAAUAAACCAAUUUAAAACAAUUAAGAGAAAU